ACCGUCAAAACUUUACCACAAACGCCGACAAUGUUGUCACAACACCACGGAUGAUAACCAAAGCCACAGCAAAAUGAGUAUCAAACCUCCGGAUGGCAACCAAACACUCGAUUUAACCACCAGAAAACCCUAGAGGUUGAAACUCACCGCAAAAUCUCCGAAACCUUCACGAUAAACGAUUGAACCAUUCAGUACAGAAGGAACAAACGUAGAUCGUGAAGAUAGAGGCACCGAAGAACCCUAAUAGGGUUGAAAACAUCAUCGAUCUUUUCGAUCUAAAAAAAAACCCAAAUUUUGAUCAGAAAAUAGUUCGAAUGAACUAUUGAUUCACAAAACAACGUCACCGGAUCAUUGUACCGGCUUUGAUACCAUGA
rnacentral:lncRNA from 1 species